rnacentral:rRNA from 1 species
UCCUACGGGAGGCAGCAGUGGGGAAUCUUGCGCAAUGGGCGAAAGCCUGACGCAGCCAUGCCGCGUGAAUGAUGAAGGUCUUAGGAUUGUAAAAUUCUUUCACCGGGGACGAUAAUGACGGUACCCGGAGAAGAGCCC